rnacentral:lncRNA from 1 species
CUAAACCAUAUGAGUCAUUUUUUAAUAUUACUGCAUGUGAGUUAACACAAUCUUCCCAAAUUAAAGUUUUAGAUGGGCCCUCAAAAUUUUUAGGGCACGGUUUUCCUGCAGGUUUAUAUGGAAAGUAUGGGUAUCUCCCAUUACUCCUCCUUUCAUUUGUUUUAAAGGAGAAAGGGAGAGGCCAGAGACCAAAUGUCUCAUUUUAUCUGUAGCUGAACUUUCAGGAAGAUAAGCAGCCCAGACUUGAGUUUCUAGAUGUAUACAACCAGGUGCAUGUCCAAGGCACAGAGGGUGGUAUUUAUAACCCAUAGUAACAUUAAAUGCAGUGUCUUAUUCUCCUGGUUGGGCAGGGCAACAGUUAUCUGUGGCUCCAGGCAUCCACACACUAUUGUUAGUGUAGAUUUCUGCAGAAGCAUCUAUCCAGGUGAGAGGUUGAAUAAGUGGAGGAAAAGGCACAUAAGCCCAAUAAGAAUAUUUAUGUGUAGCAGGUAAAUCAGUGUGAGAGGAAACUGGUGAGACAGAAAGUAUAAGGAGGAGAAUCAUUAAAUAAAACUUAUUGUAAGUGAGAUUCUGAAGAAGGAAGAGAAGAACAGUGUUAAGUAUCCUGGCAAAGGAGCAUUAGGGUUACAGAUAGAAUUGAAGUUGCUCGUCAGCUGAUUGAAGAUAAGGAGAUUGGCCUGGAUUAUCCAGGUAGGCUCAAUGUAAUCAGGAAGGGCCUUUAAAGUGAGAGAGGGAGGCAGAAGAGGAAGUCAGAGCGAUGUGCUGUGAAAUCUACUACCGUUUGCUGGUUUUGAAAAUGGAGAAAAAGAGUGAGGAACUGAGAAACAUGGAUGGCCUUGGGAACGUGGAAAAGGGUCACUGAAAUGGGACGACAUGAACUCAAGGAGGCUAUUUAUGACCAUGUCAUUUGCAACAUGAAGAAAGCUUAUCUGGAGUGAAAGUAAAUGAGACCAACAGAGAUGAGAGACCCGGAGAAAUCCUGGUUACACUGCUUGAAUCCUGUCAGUCCUAUACUGGAGUCCUGUUAAUACAAAAUAAUAGUAAUAAUCCCUCUGUUUCUUAUGUUUAUGCCAACUUCAACAAAAAGAAACUUGACUAAGAGACAAUAUAAGAAUUUAAUGUGUAAUUAAGAAAGAACUCUCCACCACGGGGAAUGUGAAAGGGUGGACCAAGUUUACAUUUCUCUGCAGUCAGAUUACCAUUGUACCAACAACUAUUCUAAGGUCCCAGUGAAAUAAUUUGGACAUUUCCAAAAGAGAUAAGAUGUGAAGACAUGUACAAUAAUAGCUGAUGCCUAAUAUAACCUCAUCUGUGUUUCUCAAACUAAAACACAUACUAACAAAAGGCCACAUGAGGACACAGUGAGAAGCUGGAAGUCUACAACCCAGAAGAGAGCCCUCAACAGAACCUAACCAUGCUGGUACCCUGAUCUCAGACAUCCAGCCUCCAGAAGAGUGAAAAAAUAUAAUUCUUAUUUCUAAGCAACCUGGUCUAUGGUAUUUCAUUAUGGCAGCCCAAGCUAAGACAGAUCCCUAUCCUAUUCACCAUGCUGCAGAGCCACAUGAGCCUCCCUUUUGUUCCUCAAGCUCAUCAAAUACCUCCUAGCCUUAGAACUUGCUAUUCCCUCUAACCAGAAUUCUCUUCCAGGUCUUUCCAUCCUGUAAGUCUUGUCCUUUAGAUCGAAAUUCACAUGUGACCUCCCCUGAGAAUGGUCCUCUGAAAACCUAUCUCAAAGAGUGUUCCCAGUUACUCUCUACCUUACCCCCAGGUUAUUAUCUUCCCACCACUUUUCCAUAUUUGUAAUCAUUUGCUUUUGUAUAUGUGUGAUAUGGUUAGGCUUAGUGUCCCUACCCAAAUCUCGUGUUAAAUUGUAAUCCCCAGGGAGAUUACAAUUUAGGGAGAGACCUGGUGGGAAGUGAUUGGAUUAUGGGGGUGGGUUCCCCCAUGCUGUUCUCGUGAUAGUGAGUGAAUUCUCAUAAGAUCUAAUGGUUUUGUAAAUGGUAGUUUUUCCUGUGCUGACUCAUUCUCUCUCCUGCUGCCUUGUGAAGAGGUGCCUUCUGUCAUGACUGUAAGUUUCCUGAAGCUUCCCCAACCAUGGGGAACUGUGAGUCAAUUAAACCUCUUUGCUUUAU